rnacentral:rRNA from 1 species
ACGAGGACCUUUGACAGGCUGCGUAAGUGCGGAAGAAAUUGGAUAGAGGAGCUGCCGGCGGCUCUUUGGUCAAUCAGAACGACACCAAGUCGAGCCACCGGACAGACACCCUUUGCUCUAGUUUAUGGAGCAGAAGCAGUUAUCCCCACGGAACUCGUAUACGGGUCUCCUCGAGUGCUCGCUUAUGAUGAGCUCGAGCAAGAGCAACUGCGGCAAGAUGACGCACUGCUCCUUGAGGAGGGACGUCUCCAGGCUGCUGUACGAGCUGCUCGAUACCAGCAAGCCUUGCGUCGCUACCAUAGCCGCAAGGUCAAGGCCAGGAGUCUCGAGGAGGGCGACCUUGUUCUUCGGCGUGUUCAGUCCGCCAAGAAUUCCAACAAGUUGACGCCGAAGUGGGAAGGCCCUUAUCGGGUGAGACAAGUCACGAGGCCCGGCGCUGUCCGCCUCGAGACCGAAGAAGGCUUACCGGUGAGCAACUCCUGGAACAUAGAGCAUAUUCGCAAGUUUCACCCAUAA